rnacentral:rRNA from 1 species
GCGGCGGACGGGUGAGUAACACGUGGGUAACCUGCCUGUAAGACUGGGAUAACUCCGGGAAACCGGGGCUAAUACCGGAUGCUUGAUUGAACCGCAUGGUUCAAUCAUAAAAGGUGGCUUUUAGCUACCACUUACAGAUGGACCCGCGGCGCAUUAGCUAGUUGGUGAGGUAACGGCUCACCAAGGCGACGAUGCGUAGCCGACCUGAGAGGGUGAUCGGCCACACUGGGACUGAGACACGGCCCAGACUCCUACGGGAGGCAGCAGUGGUCAU